AACGAACGCUGGCGGCAGGCUUAACACAUGCAAGUCGAGCGCCCCGCAAGGGGAGCGGCAGACGGGUGAGUAACGCGUGGGAAUCUACCCAUCCCUACGGAAUAGCUCCGGGAAACUGGAAUUAAUACCGUAUACGCCCUACGGGGGAAAGAUUUAUCGGGGAUGGAUGAGCCCGCGUUGGAUUAGCUAGUUGGUGGGGUAAAGGCCUACCAAGGCGACGAUCCAUAGCUGGUCUGAGAGGAUGAUCAGCCACAUUGGGACUGAGACACGGCCCAAACUCCUACGGGAGGCAGCAGUGGGGAAUAUUGGACAAUGGGGGCAACCCUGAUCCAGCCAUGCCGCGUGAGUGAUGAAGGCCUUAGGGUUGUAAAGCUCUUUCACCGGGGAAGAUAAUGACGGUACCCGGAGAAGAAGCCCCGGCUAACUUCGUGCCAGCAGCCGCAGUAA
rnacentral:rRNA from 1 species